rnacentral:tRNA from 1 species
GCCUCGGUGGCGUAGUGGUCAAGACGCUCGCCUGGUAAACAGGAGGGCGUGGGUUCGAUCCCAGCCAAGGCA